AAUUUUGGACAAUGGGGGAAACCCAGAUCCAGCCAUCCCGCGUGUGUGAUGAAGGCCUUCGUGUUGUAAAGUACUUUUGGCAGAGAAGAAAAGGUACCUCCUAAUACGAGGUACUGCUGACGGUAUCUGCAGAAUAAGCACCGUCUAACUACGUGCCAGCAGCCGCGGUCAUACGUAGGGUGCAAGCGCUAAUCGGAAUUACUGGGGGUACAGCGUGUGUAGGCGGGUCGGAAAGAAAGAAGUGAAAUCCCCGGGCUCAACCUUGGAAAUGCGUUUUUAACUGCCGAGCUAGAGUAUGUCAGAGGGGGGUAGAAUUCCACGUGUAGCAGUGAAAUGCGUAGAUAUGUGGAGGAAUACCGAUGGCGAAGGCAGCCCCCUGGGAUAAUACUGACGCUCAGACACGAAAGCGUGGGGAGCAAACA
rnacentral:rRNA from 1 species